rnacentral:rRNA from 1 species
UACGAAGGGGCUAGCGUUGCUCGGAAUCACUGGGCGUAAGCGCACGUAGGCGGAUCGUUAAGUCAGGGUGAAUCCUGGAGCUCAACUCCAGAACUGCCUUUGAUACUGGCGAUCUUGAGUUCGAGAGAGGUGAGUGGAACUGCGAGUGUAGAGGUGAAAUUCGUAGAUAUUCGCAAGAACACCAGUGGCGAAGGCGGACUCACUGGCUCGAUACUGACGCUGAGGUGCGAAAGCGUGGGGAGCAAACAGG